rnacentral:rRNA from 1 species
UACGUAGGGUGCAAGCGUUGUCCGGAAUUAUUGGGCGUAAAGAGCUCGUAGGCGGUUUGUCGCGUCUGCUGUGAAAACUCAGGGCUUAACCCUGAGCCUGCAGUGGGUACGGGCAGACUAGGGUGUGGUAGGGGAGAUCGGAAUUCCUGGUGUAGCGGUGGAAUGCGCAGAUAUCAGGAGGAACACCGGUGGCGAAGGCGGAUCUCUGGGCCAUAACUGACGCUGAGGAGCGAAAGCAUGGGGAGCGAACAGG